CACGUAUACAUGCAUGUGUUCAUCACAUACACAAAUACACACAAAUAUUCCUCACAAACACACACACGAAAGCAUUCAUCACACACACACACACGCAUGCAGACACCUGAAUGUACACACACACGAAAGCAUUCAUCACACACACACACGCAUGCAGACACCUGAAUGUAACAAUAUAAUACUAGCUAGUAUUUUACCCCACAAUGAACUGAACACUUUAUUUGCAUAAUCUCAUUUCAUACUCAAAAACCUGGAAGUGCCAUUCUUGUCUUACAGAUGAGGAAACUGAGGCACCAAGUGGCUGAGUCCUGUGCCCAAGGCUGCCCGCUGUUCAGCAGAAGAGCCAACGUCUGUGCUUUUGACCCCUCUGCUUCCCGCCUCCCUGUGACCACUUUCGUUCUGUCUUCCCUUCGCUCUGUUGAGUUUACCUUGUCAAGCCUCCCUGACUCCAGCGUGUUUCAUCCUCAAAUUCCACUGGAUGGAUUCCAUAGCACCAGCACCGUGUCUAUCUUAGAAAAACUGCCAAGACGGCCCCUCUUGUUGCGAAAGACCAUCCAAGGAAGAAACCACAGACUCUCAAUCGUCUAUUUUAGAGCCCACUCCUUUGGGAAGUCCUUCCUAAUGUCUAAGUAAAAUUCACUUUGCUUCAAUAUGUUUUCGCUGCAACCUCUGCCUCCUGGGUUCAAGUGAUUCUCAAGCCUCAGCCUCCCGAGUAGCUGGGAUUACAGGUACUCACCACCACACCUGGCUAAUUUUUGUAUUUUUAGUAGAGAUGGGGUUUCACCAUGUUGGCCAGGCUGAUCUCGAACUCCUGGCCUCACAUGAUAUGCCAGCCUUGGCCUCCCAAAGUGCUGGGAUUACAGGCGUGAGCCACUGCACCCGGCCUUGUUUACUGUUUUUGUGGCCUAGUAGGAUCCAAGCCUAGUUGACCAAGGACUAUCAUUUUCUGGCAAACAAAAUUUCUCAUGUCCCUUUCUCAGGCCCCGUUCACAGAGGGGAGGCUGCCUAAUGGGUUUUUAAAGCACUGGAGUCUGGAGUUCAAGUACCCACUCUGCCACUUACUGGCUGUGUGAUGUGAGCUUGGGCAAGUUACUUUGGGGACUACAUGGCAGCUCCAGCUCCUUCCCCUCACCCCAGCCCCAGUCUCUCCCACAGGGGUGAGACUUUGUCUUCUACGUAUUUAUCAAAAUUCCAUUAAGCUCCCCCAGUUGACACAUGUGCUCUCCUCCCACAUAAAAUCCACAUGUCCCAGCCUCUCUUGCAGUCAAGUCUGGUCAUAUCACCAUGCCCCUGGAUCUGAGUGUUUUGUUCUUUGGGUUUCUUUUUUUGGGGAGUGGGGAAUUAGGGGGAAGGGUCUUGCUCUGUCACCCAGGCUGGAGUGCAUUGGGGGUGAUCAUGGCUCACUGCAGCCUCUAAUUCCUGGACUCAAGUGAUCCUCCUGACUCAGCCUCCCAAAUGGCUGGGAUUACAGGUGCACCACCCUGCCUAGCUAAUUUGG
rnacentral:lncRNA from 1 species